rnacentral:lncRNA from 1 species
AGUCAUUAGUGUGACAUCCCAAUUAUACAGAAAAACAUACAUAAUCAAGAUGUCAUCAUAUAUAAUAAUUGAAAGCAGUUAGAGUAUAUUAGAGACAAUUAGGAUUACAGUCAUCCUUAAGCAGUACAGGAAUUUAGGAACUUGGAGAAAUAGAGUUCUCCUAAAAAGGAUAGGAAUUUAAAACUUUAAACAUAACAAAUAAAGUUCUUCAAAAUAUCUAAGACUAAGAAAAGUAAAGUCUAAUGAACUAGGCAGCGACAUUUCCAUCUCCAUUAAGAGUUGUUUCCAAGGUAUCCUCCACGCCAUCUGCUCUCAUCCAAGUGGAUGAUCAUCGCAAGAAAAAACGAAAGCAAACAUGGCACAAACACAAGCAAAUGCAAGGGUGAGCUAAUUAUAUAUAUAAAAAAAAACAUGCAUCAUAUCAAACAUAUAAUAUACAAGAGUUAAAUUUUUAAUCAAAACAGAUUAAGGCAUAAUUCCUAACAUGUUGAAUACUAAACUUUACUCAUCCAGACUUUAGAAUGAUAGUCGAGCUAUGGCGGGCCAUGCACCCGUGGUGGCUUGUGAUACUUAGGCUCCCCCGCCCUGAGCUUCCCCGCCCUGCCACUCACGAGGUUAGUCUGUUCCGCGCCUUGGAGCAUGAUGAAAGCCUCCAAGACUAAGACCUCCUACUACUCCUCACCACAUGGUCCAAUCCUCUCUACGUGAGAAAAAAAGACCAUUGGAGCAUCAGGAAGACCCCCAAGACUGAACUCCUACUUUCAUUCUAAAACACUUAGAAUCUCACCAAGAGAUUCGACAUUUGAAACUACCAUAAGCAACCAUGAAAUCAUGUUUCAGUCUUUCCCAAUUCACACACCUUUGAAUUAUAAACAAAUCACAUGUUUAAGCUUUCAAAUUAAUAACCCAAUAAAACACUUUUAAUUAAUAACGUUCUCUUUCAAAAAAUAAAAAUAAAACCAUGUGCCAACAUUUUCAUUUAAUUUGCUUAAAUCUUAGAAUCCUACCCCUGUAACUAAUACAACACCCUUCUAGAAGUUUAAUUCACUUUAUUUUACACCAUGGGAUCCAUCCAAAAUUAAAUAAUCAAUUUCCUAUCACUUCUCUCCAUAAAGAAUUAUAACUUUCUAUGGUAGCCUACAUCAUGCACCCUCUCCUCUUCUCAUUCUUUCUUUCUUAAACUUCUUUUCCAUUAACCCGCGGGUCCUACUCCUAUUACUCACCUUUUUUUUUUCUCCCAACGUAACAAAAUACAUCAAUCACACCUAUUAUUAAAGAAACCCACCUCACAACAUUUAAAUAUUAGCAUUCUAAUACUACCAACAAAAUAUCAUGCCACACCAAGCCAUCAUUCACGUAACCCCACCUUUCAUAUAUAAUUACAUAUACAUCAUUAUUAUAUUCAUAUAAUAUUAUAUAUAUAUAUAUAUAUAUAUAUAUAUAUAUAUAUAUACCUUACUAUAUAAAUAUAAUACAUUAGAUAUCUAUAUACACAUUACUAUAUAAAUACAAUAUAUUACCUNACGUAAACCCANUUUCUCGUACACNUUUAUAUCUAUAUAAAACUAAACUAUAUUACUUCAGCACCUUAUUCCCUCUACACCCAAGCCAUUAAAGUUUUCAAGAAUUAGGAUAUUACACACUACUUAUAAAAUAUAUACAUGUACACGCUAACAAUUAAUCAAACCCCAAAACAGACUCUUCUUUCUUCAACUUCAUUCUGUAACCCCUACUUCUCUCUUNCCCCAAAUCAUUAUUAUUUUUCACUCUUCCGUGAACGNCNUUCUCCCUUUUUCCACACUAAAANCGAACUACUCACCACUGCUAUUUUCUUUCCCACACUCUCUNCAUGAGAAACCUCAACCAAUUCCUANCUCCUACCCAUGCCUACNAUGCGACACAAUUCCACUCCCUUNAAUUCACAUCAAGGUUCUAUAUUUCUGAUAUUCUUUUCUUUUCUUAUUCUACUUCCUCCAACACAACAUAGCAGUAUAAAUUAGAGCACAAUUAAUCAACAUACAAUUAUUCUAAAGGAAAUUAUCUAACUCCUCUUACACAUAUACUCAUUCCAAUAAUUUACAGAAUUAUAAUUAACACAAUAACAAAACAAUGUCAACUCCCCUUACCUUGGGUUUUCACGGUAAGCUAAUUUAAAGACGCCCUAACAGAAAUUCUCACCCAGACAGAAAAACAAUAGUACCUAUAAACUACCAUAUCGACGGUAGAAAAUAACUCUUGGAAUGAGAACUUAACAGAAAUUAGAAAAAGGAGGGUUCUAACUGCAUAAAAUCAGUAGAACCCCAAGCCCUAAGUUUAGGAAAUAGCAAAGAGAAGGGAAAAAUACAUUUACCAGUCGGAACAAGAAAUUGUUCGGUUCAAAAUGAAGCCCUUGCCGCUGUGAACAUUUAGGCACCUUCAAACUAAAAAUUAAACGGUUCAGUGUUUGGAAAUCAUAGAGAGAAGGCAGAACAAAUUUUUAGGGAAAAAGAAAAGAGUUUUAGAGAGAGAUAGGAAAUCUGGAAAAUGAAAGUCUGAUUUCUGAAAGGCCCUCUCCAAAGUCAGGUUGUCCUAGCUUUAUGGACCUGG